GGCUUCUCCCUCAUUUUGAGUUAACUUUACAUAGUGGAUUUCUACAAGUAUCUUUUUCUUUUAUUCUGAGAAUACACCUCCAUUAUCUUCUACUAAGGCAUUCCUACCUGCACCUUAAGAGGAGCCAAUCUCUAUUCGGGAUGGUGCAGCUUGCUGUCACCAGGUUACUUCUCUUCAGAUUCAGA
rnacentral:lncRNA from 1 species